rnacentral:lncRNA from 1 species
AGUUUCCGGCUGCGCCAUUGCUCUGUGGGUCCCAAGAUCCGGACUUAGAGGACGCGGGGAGGGCGGGGCGGCGCCCGGCUUCCGGGUAGUGGCAGGUGAGGCCGCGUGGGGCCAGCGGCGGCUCCUUGCUGGUCUGUGGCUCUGGGCCCAAGACCCGAGCCUCCUACAGGGGCGGCCCCCUGCCUGAGGCGCGGGUGGGUUCCGACCUCCGAGAGCCGGUGUGGAAGCACUGAGGGGCCCCUACUUUUGCCCCCGAAGUCAGCGGGGCAACAGCCGCUCCCUUGCAGGAGCCGGGCCGUGGGCUGAGGGCCCCGGUGGGUGAGAUCGGUGACCCCCGAAAACUCCGACCAAAGAGCUGCAGCAAGAAAGGAGUUGGUUCCCACAAACCGCCCAGAGUCAAGUUCUGGAGGCUGAGAAGUUCAAGAUCAAGGUGCUGGCAGAUUUGACGUCUGGAAGAUAUGCUCCAUCGAAACAUGGAAAUGAAGUAAGAAAGAGCAAGACCUAGAUCCAAGAAACAUAGAGCCGACGAGUCUCCAGGAUGCAUUAAAUGGAGACUCAAGUUGUGAGCAGUACCUGAAAGGAAGCAACAUGUCCAGAAUGGAACAGAUCGCAAAGUUCCAGGAAGGAUUUCUUCAGGAAAAUUAAAUUGAUAGAAUACUUAAUUUGAAUCUCUUGAGGAAACUUGCACACAUUGGGAAGAAUUUGGAUUAAAUUAGCAACAAGUCCAUAAAAAUACUCCCAAGUAUCAGAAGAGUGAGAUGUUUCUAAGGCCCUCGUUUUCUCUGUGCAUGGGAACUAAAAUCAGUCUGAUGGCAGCUGCACAAGAUGGGAAGGAGUAAUCCUUGAAAUUAGACCAAGGAAGCACGUGAAGUGUGUUUGCUCUCAGCCACCAGCCUCAGAAGAGCUCAAGUCCAGGUAGGGUACAUUUUACCUGAGAUCUACUCUGGGGUGUCUUCCCUUGGUCACAGCCUGCUCCCAGGCACUCCUGGUGAGUUGGGUCUCUUUCCUACAUGUUGUGUAGCAUUAUUGUCCCAUAUUCACAGUGAGCUGUCCGAUUCCCAGGAGCAGAAGCCUGUUUCUGAAGCAUCCAAUCAGUCUAGAAAUAAUAGUCUAGUUAUCUGAUUUUUCACAGCUCUUUGCCUUUUCCUUGCACUGAGGAGUUAGGUAGCUAACUUUAUUCACAUCAAACAGCUAUGGAAGUUAAAGUUAUCUCAGAUUCGGAGCUAUAGACAUUACUUAAGAAGCGCUGUGGUUCUUUAAGUAUAUUCACGUCAUAAGCACUCAGCAAACCAGGUUAUUCAAGAAUCCUCUUAUCUCAGAAAGCUGAUUACAUUAUAUAAAUUAUCAAGGCAUUUAUUUCAAAGAUACUGAGAAAAAUCAGAGCAUUCUUGUCAGGUGUCUGUGGCACUUUGGCACUUGACCCCAACAUUCUUAAACAUCCUCUCAUCAAGAGCAAGAGUGCCCCACACGCUUCUCUGAACCAGGAUGAGCCAGUGACUGCUUUGACCAAUUAAGUAUGAUAGAAAGGUUGCUAUGUGACUUUUCAGGCUGGAUCUGAAAAAGCCAUGCCAGUUUUGCUUUCUUUUCUUUGGAUACUUGCUCUGAGAGAAGUCUGCUGCCACAUAGAGUGUAUCUCCCCUAAGAAAGUCAUGCUGGAAAGGCCUUCUGGUCACAGCCCUGCUCAGCUUCCAGCAACAGCCAGCAUCCACUGCCAGCCAUGUGGACAGGCCAUCUUGGGUGUCCCCAGAUGUGUUGACGACUCAGCUCAGUGGAGCCUUCAGAUUGUUGCAGUCUCCACCAACAUCUGACUGCAACCUCUUGAGAAAUGCCUUGUGACAGCAAAGCAGCCAAGCCCUUCCGUAACUCAUAACCCACAAAAUCAUUUAAAAAGAUCGUUUUUAACAAAUUGGUUUUCGGUUCAUACCACUAAAGUUUUAGGGCAAUUUGUUUUACAGUGCCAUUGGGAAAGAAGUUUCUCCCCUUUGACACACCUCCUCACCAUUCCAGCUGCUCACUUUCACUUCUGAGUGUUUGUGCUGUAGUUGCUUCAGUCCAUAUCUUCUUGGGUUUAUCUUUUCAUACUUUACACAUAUACACACACAGCCACAUAGGCACAGCCACCCACAUAGAAAAUUGAUCACUUGGCUCAGUUCUACUCCCCAGAUGACUUCAUUCAGACCUCAUUUUUCAGCUGGGAAAAAAAAAAAAAAAAAAAAAAAAAAA